UUUUUUUUUUUUUUAAAUUCACUAACCUUUUUUGAGGCUGGCCCUCUAUAAUCUGCCGAGGACUUAAUUUUAUUACUACUCCAUUGUAGUAUCACCUGUCUGAUGAUAAGGACUUUAAGCAACCCAAUCAAGAAUGUUACUAUAAAGAUGAUGAAAAAUAUUCUUAAAUAGCUUGGGCUAGAGAAACAUUCUGUAAUGAAGCAAACAAACAAAUGGAUUAAAACAUUAGAAUCAGUAAACCAAAGGAUUAUACAAGUAAACCACAGUCACCAUCCCAUUUAAUGUGACCACAGAUAGUUGCAAAUCUAUAUUUUCAAAACAGGGGAUUGCCAUGAUUGUUGAUUCAAAAAGUAAACAUUCUAAUUUUUAUUGUACAUUUAUUAUUAAAACAUUUUCAACAGAAAACCCUCCUUUGGAGAACAGCUACCAUUAAGGCAUUUGGUAAGAUUAUCUCUCUGCAGCCCAAUUCUUUAAUUAUUUUAACUGGAAUAUGUAUAAAAUCUUAACUGAACAUAAUUCUAUCUAAGAAAAAGGGGCAGAUUUCGUGUGCACUGCUGAUCACUAUGUAGCAAAUGGAAUUUAGUUAUAUAUAUAUAUAUAUAUAUAAAAAAUAUAUAUAUAUAUAGUAACAGCUCUGGGCAUUAGCAUAUACUUCUCUGGUUAUGCUCUAUUCAUUUGUUGUACACCAGUAGUGGAGAAGAAACAUCUGCAGAAGCUAAAAUCAGUACUGCUCUAACUCUAAUAGAUGAGUAAAUAUUUCCUUUGAAACCACAGUGCACAUUGUCAUUAUUACUCCACAUGGCCACUCCAGGAUCUAGGAGUAUCCGACUUGGGACAAAACACAAAUCCUCUCAAUUUUUAUUAAUUUACUUUUACUUGCCCGUUAGCCAAAUCUAUUCUAUUUUGCGUUUAAAAACUCCACUGUGUAUUCUUUCAAAGAACAAAUCACUACGAGCUGGUAAAAGAAAUGCUGUGUGCAGAGGAGGGGCAGGCUAGGUCUCUGUUUUAGCCCCAAACUUUUGGCAAAAUUUACCUGGAAAAUCUACAGGGCUCUGCUGCUAGAGGCACUCUCCUCAUUUAAAUAGAACAUGAUUGCACAAUUCACAAGUAUUCCACAGAACUCAUCAGCUGCUUCAGACUCACAAAAUCCCCUCCUGGCCUGAAGAGUCAUGGGUUCCUCCACUCACUUCCCAGGCCCUGGGGACCUCCCUUAAAUGUAUGAAGAUCUCCUUGAAGGGUUCUCUAGGGAGGGACCCCACCAAGGCUUAGAGUAGCAUGUCACUUGAUCAUAAGUGAUUUGGAUCUGAAUCCCCAAGAAUGGCCAACUAUGUUGUCACAUAAGCCAAGAACAGUAACGAGGGCAAGGGAUUCUCCCCAAGGGGGGAGAGUUAUGGUAAUAGAGCCCAGUUGGCUUUUGGUCAGUGAUAUAGUUCCUUGAAAGAAAGGUGCAAGGGAGGUCUUGGCAUCUUCCACAGCGACUUUCAGGUUCAUACACUGACACAGAUGCCUUGCAUCCUGACAGACUGUGUCAUUUCCUUUGGCUGACUUAGAACGACUCAAUCAGCUAAAACAGAUCCUCAGAGAGGACAUGUGGGCGAUUCCACUUACUGGCUUCUAGCUGGGUGGGAGCUUAGCCAGAAAGAUCAAAAGAAUGCCCCUUAAGAGUGAUUGAGUGGAUGGCUAAUAGAAGUGGCUAACAUGUGCCCAUCUCUCCUUGCACAACAGUUACAAAGGGGAGGGGAGCUCCCUAGUGACUAAUACGUUUUAGAACUAUUUCUAAAGGGUUAGGAUAGGGGACACUUUCAGGGCUCGAAUCUGUGCACAUUUUUAAUGUUGCCAUUGUUUUUAGGUGCCGUCAAGUCAGUUCAGACUCAUGGCAACCCCAAGCACAACAGAAGGGAGCACUGCCCGGUCCUGCUCCAUCCUCACAAACAUUCCUAUGUUUAAGCCCCCUGUUUUAGCCACUGUGUCAAUGCAUCUUGUUGAGAGUCUUCCUCUUUUUCGUUGACCCUCUUUGACCCUCUACUUUACCAAGCAUGAGGUCCUUCUCCAAGACAGGUCGCGCCUGAUAGUAUGUGCAAAGAAUGUGAGAUGAAGUCUUGCCAUCCUUGCUUCUAAGGAGCAUUCUGGCUGUACUUCUUCCAAGAGAUUUAUUCAUUCUUCUGGCAGUCCAUGGUAUACUCAAUAUUCUUCGCCAACACCAUAAUUCAAAGGCAUCAAUUCUUCUUGGGUUUUCCUUAUUCAUUGUCCAGCUUUCGAAUGCGAUUGAAAACACACUGAUACAUUUUAGAAAUAUUUCUAAAGCGUUAGCCUAGAGAACACUUUCAGGGCUCAAAUUUGUGCACAUUUUUAAUGUUGUUACUGAUGGCUAAACAUUUAACCAUAGUUCAUGCCUCUUUUCUUGACACAGGUCAGGCAAAGGCCUUUACUAAGGAACUUUAAGGGAAUACUUUUGUAACAACACUUACGUAAGAGUAGGCUUGUUUACUUAACAUAAUAAAUGACAUGUUGAUAGUAAGGGCCCUAUUUAUUAGAAAAGGCACUUGGCUUUCUGUAGUGAUUGCUGUAGUCCCAGCUGGCUGCACCUGGGGCUCUAUUCAGAGCCAAAUUCAUUACGGUCUAAGCUCAGUGUGAAUAUGAGGGAAAAAGGAAAGAAAACUUUGAGGAAAGUUUAUUCUUCUGUGCAGUCUACCUAAGAGCUGAAGUUAUUCUUACAGGUUGGAGGAAAGACUUGAAAUAAUAAUAGCGGUAGUCAUGUUUUCAACUAAGACAAAACUUCAAGCUUAAUUUCUAAUUCAGGUAUAGUUCAAUAAGCCCAUUGAAAAGUGGGCUGCUGGCUUUUUGGGUUCUAAUGAACUUUGUCUAAAAACAGUCUAUGAGCAUAGCUGUCACAUGUUUCCCUGACUUACAUGUCACCUUAGAGUUCACAUACUUCCUUCAUGUUCACUGGUUCCUUGACUCUCUCACAUGCCCCUUUGGGGUUGGUAUUAUUUUCUCUGUCCCUGGGUGGUGCAAAUCUGUUCAGCUGCUAACUGAAAGGUUGGAGGUUCUCAGUCCACCCAGAGGCACCUCGGAAGAAAGGCCUGGUGAUCUAUUUCUGAAAAAUCAGCCACUGAAAGCCCUAUAGAGCACAGUUCUACACUGACACGCAUGCGGUCACCAUGAGUUGAAAUCCACUUGAUGGCAAUUGGCUUUUUAAAAAUUAUUAUCUCCACUUUACAGAUGAGGAAACUGAGGUUCAAAGAACUUUUGUAGGAGGGCAAAUAUUUCUUAACUAAUACUGUUAACGGAGAAGCCAAGUCAGGGUCUUCAGACUACAAGUUCCAUACUUUUUCUACUGUGCCACAUUUAUAACUAUUCACCCCUAAACUGUAUUUAUAUCCAAAUAAAAAUGUUCUAGGAAAAAGGGGCCCUUUGAAGUUAUAUAUUUUUCAGUAGCAGAUUAUUGCUACUUAGAAUCUUUUGCCUUCCAGUGAAGCAGGAAAGUAAAUGUUGGUUUCAAAUGAGGGUGGUCAGAUCUUGAAACAAGUUUAGGUUACGAAGGAAUAUUAUGGCUCCAGUGAUUUGUCUGUAAUGUCAAAAUGGCUCUACGUGGGGAACUCAUAUUCUUGGCUCCCUGAGGCCUCUUGAGUCAACCUGUCUGGAUGCUCUUGCAUGGAGGCACAUGGCAUGGGAAUUUAGCUGCAUAAUUAAGAUGGAAGACCUAACAACUCAGCUGAGCCAUGGCAAGCAUACUUAAGUUAUUUAGAGUACCAUCUUUGGGAGAUUUAAAAAAUUGAAGCAGCUAGUCAAUUUUUUUUUUUUUUUUUUUUUGCGGGGAGGGGGAGCCCUAGUGAUGCAGUGGUUAAGGCACUCAGAUGCCAGUGGAAAGGCUGGUGGUUUGAACUUACCAGCUGCUCCCUGGGAGAAAGAUGUGGAAGUCUGCUUUCAUAAAGAUUUACAGCCUUGGAAACUGUGUGAGGGCAGUUAGUUCUACUUUGUCCUAUAAGGUCGCUUAGAGUUGGAAUCAACAAGAUGGCAGUUGGGUUUUGGUUGAGUCCAUUUUUUAUAAUGGUUAAUUAUGGAUCUUUUUUGGGGAAUGGGUUCUACGACAGAUACUCUUCAGUGCUUUGAUUAUUAAACUUUGGUUUACCUGGUGUUUGGUCCACAGAAUGGUGUUCCAUGAGAGCACACGAGGAUUUACACUGAUCAAGUAUAGCUUGAGAGAGAUUGUGAGGGUGAAGGCAUUGCACACAAUUCCUGUAAGGGGGAAACAGAGGUAGAAAACAUUUAUGCUUUAAAAACGUUGCAGCCUGUAAUAUUUUUCAGAGAGAAAUAAAAUAAUAAAAUAAACUACUUCUUUAGGACAACAGCCUUAUAAAACUGGGAAAGAAAGCUAUGCAAUUUAUUUUAAUAUAGAAAAUCCAAAUAAUAACUUCACUGUAUUGAGAAUAAAAUACCUAGGAAAUGAAUUAAGAUACUCUUACCACGAAUUAAUUAGUUAAUUGUAUUUGAUGUUUUAGAAGAUUAAUAUUAUGAUACUACUAGAAAAAUUCAUCAAUGAUAAAAAGUUCAAACUCGUCAGGUUUAUUAGAAAUAACUUCAUAAUGUUUUAGUACUGUACUUUAAAAUGAAUUAAAUAAAUUACUAUACAUAAUUAAAAAAAUUACUUGAGGUACCAAUCUGAGAAAGUUAAAUGCCUUUAAAAAACUGAUUAACACAAAUUGGAAGCCACAGUGAUGUUUAGAGUGGUGGUUUGUAUUUGAACAGAUGGAAGCUGUUACUGGAAUAUCUGUUAUUGACACAAAAUUAUAAUGUCACCGUUUAACAUAUGGCCUUUCAUUUAUAUAUCACUUAUUCCUAGAGUGCUUCAGCUGCCAUCAUUCUUUAUCUUUAAAAAAAAAAAAAAAAACCCAAACCCACUGCUGUCAAGUUGAUUCUGACUCACAGCGACCCUACAGGACAGAAUAGAACUGCCUCAUAGGGUUUCCAAGGAGCAGCUGGUGGAUUUGAACUGCCGAUCUUUUGGUUACUGGCUGUAGCUUGCUGUAGCUCUUAACCACUGUGUCACCAGCGUUCCCAAAUGAUUACUAUGCACCAAGUACAGAGGAUUUUUUUUUUAAAAACUUGGAUCAUUUAGUUUAAUUCGUUAACUGAACUGAAGUGAGAUAUUAUUAUCCUCACUUUUCAUACGAGGAGACUGAGGCACAGAGAAUUUCAACAACUUGCCCUAGGACACACAGCUAAUUCACAGAAAGCUUCAGAGCAGUCAGCCCCUAAUUUUAAAAGUGCUAUUUCAAAACAGCUAAGGUAAUGACUGCCUACAUAAAUUGUGAUGCUCUCACAACUAUCUAGUGGUCAAAGAUUAGAACCCAUGUCUCUUAAUUCCUAAAACUCUCCAUUCAAUUCUUUCUUAGUAAGGUGAUACAAUUUUAUCUGAAGGAAAAGACCCAGAAACUUCCAAGAUUUAGGAAGGCGGAACAUGAAAGGACCAACAAAACUAUUAGGGAGGUAUGCUUCACAUAUGUUUGGCAGCAGAGAAAACGUACCAGUUUUCAUUGCACGCUGUAUUACACGAGGGGCAGUGUUCACAGAAACGGCCGAUGCUCCUGGGAUCGGUACACUCGCACCUGCCGCACACACAGGUGCCUCUCCCGCUGCAUACUUGGCCCUUUGAGUUGACACAGUGUUGGGCUGAUGCCGACGGGCACUGGCACCAAUCCCCCUCCCAGCCACUGUGGCACUGACAUCUGCCAGCUUCACACUCUCCAUGACCUGCAACAGAGACACCCCAGGACCUAAAUUAUAGGGGCCACCGACUUUGUAGAGUUUCCAAACAUGCAUUCCCUCUGGUCUCCAUGAAAACACACUGCGAAUGGAAGUAGCAUUAUGUUCUACUUGCCUGACAUAAACAAUCACCAGGCUUUACAAGUGUCUAUGGUCCAAGCUGUUCUAAUGUAGAUAAUCUCCUGAUGCUAAUAGACUGUGCUGACAACUGUGAAGUCAGCCCCUGCUGCGGUUGCUGCCUGGCUACUUGAACAUCACUGUACACUGUUUUAAAUUAAAAACACACAAGUAUAAAGAAGCUACAGAGGGUGCUGUAAUGUUAAUUGUCUGACUUGAAAUAAAAAAAAUAAGGGCAUGCAAAUGAUGGCUUCCAUAAUUCACUCUUUCCAUAAUUUAAGUCUUUUGUUAUCGCUGAGGCCUGGGAUAAUUUUGAAGACCAUGAGGUUCCAGUUCUGUGUCAUGUUUAAAGAAAAGGUAUCCAGUAAAGUUGACAAAUCCUCUCAGCUGCCCAGUACAUUAUUUAUAAGGUUGCUGGAGCACGUCAUAAUGUGUGCGAUGAGCUGUUAUUAGGUGCUAAAUGGGAAAGAGAUAGCAGGGUGUUGAUGGGGGAUGUUUAUGUGGUCAAAUAAGUUGUGGAAACAUUGGUUAAAUGACAUAUUUACAUGGAUUUUAGGCUGCAGGAAGUGUCCAAACUUUGAUAUGCUAAUGUGAAUUAUAAAUCUUCAACGGGGGGACAAUUGCAGGGUUAUACAGUGCUUGUCAAGUUUAUCUGGCCACAGGCCUCAUUGCCUCCCUGCUUACUUCCCUUCCUCCAUCUCUCUCUUCUUUUCUUCCCUCCCUUUCUUCCCAUCCUUCCCUCAGCCUCUCCUUCACUCCCUUUACUGCUGAGCACCUCACAGGGUAAUUAUUCCGUGCAAUCUAUUGUUGGAUUCAGUUCAAUUUGCUAAAGUGUUUAACUAAUGAGGACCAAGCCAAACAAAUGUAUGCCAGGCCUGUGUUCCUAAUCCUAGCCAGCUGACCUGCAAACCUGGGCUUUUAGUCCCAAAAGAGAUUAGUGGAGAAAAACGUGGGUCAGUAUUACAGUUUGCCACUUACACACAAAAAAUUCAAAGCAGAGUCUCAACUCACUAGUAUUAUAGUUGUACAGAGUGACCACACAUUGAUUUUGUUGAUAUUUCGCCCUAAACAGAGACUGGGAUUCUCAAUGUAUUUCAAAUUUCAUUGAGAAGUUGACAGCAAGGGGCAAUGCUCUCAGAAUUAUUUUCUUUCUCAUCCCAAAUGGGAUUAGCUCCAAAAAAUAGCAGACAAUUGUUGAUUUGUUGUAAAGUCAUCUAUAAUCCAUUUUACCUAUGAUACCAGGUACAGUUGAAUAAAUGUUUGGGUCACAAAUCACUCUCUGUAGAUAACAGAAUAAGAAGACAACUUGCCAUCACGUACUUAGGUAUGUGUGGUACAGGCCAAAGUUUUAGCUUAUGCAAGAAUAGAAAAUUUAUUUUUUAUAGGUUUGUUACUUUCCAUUAACUCAUGACAAUGAAAAUAUUUCAGUUCUUUAAUAAUGAAAUCAAUACUUGUUUAGUUAAAUACAAACACUACAGAGGUGUUUUCACAAUCCAUGGAUUUAGCACCUUGUCAAGAGAAAUGUUAUCACAGAAUUGUGAUGACAGCCAGUUCAUUUAAUUCAUUUAAAAACAAUAAAAACCAAAAAACCAAACCCACUGCCAUCAAGUUGAUUCCAACUCAUAGCGACUCUAUAGGACAGAGUAGAAUUGCCCCAUAGAGUUUCCAAGGAGCUCCUAGUGGAUUCGAACUGCCAACCUCUUGGUUAGCAGCCAUAACACUUAACCACUAUACCACCAGGGUUUCCAUGCAUUUUAUAUUAAUUUUCAAAUGUUGCAGAUUUUCUGAAAUCUAACCUCUAGGUGGCAGUAAACCUAAUUAGCCAAAAGUAAUCAUGUUAUUUUAAUUUAUUUCAUUUUUAUUUAGUCUGUGUGUAGCCUCAGCCUUAUCUUUUAGAUUUCUUGCUUAAUUAGUAUUUUCUUGAAGAAUAUUGUCCUUUGGCAAUUCUGUUGCUGACGGUGUUCCAAAAAUAAACUGGAGAGGUUUGAAUUACUAUGAACUUACAACAUCAUAUAUAAUAAUGCAUUUAGAAUUUUCCCAUGAGUGAAAAAUAUUUUUUAUAGAUCAUUUUCCAUCAUCCUGAAAGAAAUAAAAGCCUCGAACGAGCUGGAGCGAGAGAGCAUCUAUCAUAAUGAAUCAGAUCCUUCUGGAGAAAUACAUCAAUUACAAGAAACCUAUCAGUCAUCACCGGUGCUGGUGUGUUGGCUCCGACUCAUGGUGACCUUGUGUAUAGCACAACAAGAUGCUGCCUGGUCCUGCACUGUCUUCACAAUCAUUGGGUUCUGUGAGUUCAUUGUUGCAGCCAUUAUUUAGUGCCUUCCAAGCUAGGGGGUUAAUUUCCAGCACUAUAUUGGACAAUAUUCUGUUGUGAUCUGUAAGUUUUUCCUUUUACUAAUUUUGGAAAUGAACAGCCAGGUCUUUCUUCCUAGUCUGUCUUAGUCUGGAAGUUACACUGAAACUUGUCCACCAUGUGUGACCCUGCUGGUAUUUGGAAUACCGGUGGCAUAGCUUCCAGUAUCAUAGCAACACGCAAGCCAUUACAAUACGACAGACAGGUGGUGGUCAAACACUUCAGGCUAUCAUAAAAGCUAUAAUGGCUGAUUGAUUGACGACUGUAAGGUAAACUCCUGGGAGGCCAUUUCUAUACUGUAGGCGUGAGAGUUACCUACCAGAUCUGGUCCUAUAAAAUGCCCCCAAGAAUGGCUGAGGAUUUUUGCCAAGUCCCUUGGGCUUGUUUGCCAUGAUCAAAUUUGGUCCAAACCUUAAUAUCAAAUAUGACCUCUCACUGGGCAGGAAAUCAUUUAUUCAUUUAUUCAGUAAUUUAUAUAUAUCCAUUCACUAAACAUCCCUAAAAUGCCUAGGAUGUAUUAGGCACACACUAAUUUCUUCCAUCACAACCUGCAAGUUCCAAAAGACUGAGCUACCUUCAAUAUAUGCUACAGAACUGUUUGUGUUUUGUCCUGUAAAACUAAGAGUCUACCACAUGCAAAAGUUCUUAACUUAUACUUGUAAGCAAAACGAAGGGGAAAUAAGUAUGUACCUAAGGAAAGAGAAUGAAUAGCAGAGGAUGAAGGAAAAAUAAUUUCCAAUGGUUUCUAAUUCCUUACUUAUAUAAUUUCUGUUCUUCAAAAGCAUAAUCCACAAAGAGCCAUGUGCUUAAAUAUUAUUCAUUGAUAACAGAAUUAUGAAAGUAAAUAUUUUGAACAAGUAUUUUCCUUAAAUUUAUGAAUUAUAUUUGGAUUAAACUGGAUGAUGUCAACUACAUUUUUUUAUCUCCCAGAUGGCUUAGUAUACUUGAACCAUUUAAUUGAAUAAUUUCUGCAAACCAAUAGAAAUGUCCAAUGGGAUACAAAUACUGCUGAUAUGGUGAUGGUGUUACAGGUCAGAGGAGUCCCUGGGGAAUGAAAAUGGUUAACGUGCUUAGCUGCUAACUGAAAGGUUGGGGGUUUGAGUCCACCCAGAGCACCUCAGAAGAUGGGCUUGGCAAUCUACUUCCAAAAAAAUCAGCCACUGAAAUCCCUGUGGAGCACAGUUACAUUCUGACGGUCAUGGGGUCACCACUGAGUUAGAAUCAAAUCCAUGGUAAUUGGUAGUAGCAGCAGUGGUAGUAGCAGUAGUAUGUCAGGUCAGGAGGAAAUACCUAACCCGAGGAGCGUCUUCAGCUUGCCCUUCUGAAAUUCUGCUUUUCUUAAGACCUUAAGCUGGUUAAGGCCAAUGUUUUUCGAGCAGAGUGUGAAGACAAAUCUCUAAAAAUUUUGCCAGGCUGGGAUAUAGAAAUUAAAUUCCAGACACAAUCUUAAGCUUCUUUUCACUAUUUAACAGUACAGGAGAAGAAAUACGUUUUUCUGUUGUAGAAUUCUUUAAUGAAUUUUGAACUGUUUUUGUUGGGCUGUGACAAAAUGAAAAUUUCAGAAGACUUUUGAAAAUAUAUAAAAAACAAUAACAAAAUCCCAACCAAAAGAGAUUUUAGUUAGCCAGAGUAAAUUUUUGUUGGACUUAGUAGUAUCUUUUAAUUGCUUAAGUUUAAUCAGAACUCUGAUGGGCUAAGGCAUCACAUAUGUAUUCUAGACAAAUAAAGAAGUCAAAUGGAACUGUCUCAAGAAACUUCCUUCCCAUUGAGGCUGCCUGACACACAGUAAAAUUUGUUAAUUUAUAUACCUUGCUUGGGGCAAUGAGUGGGUUCAUAAUUUCACAAUUUAGGGAGACUUCUAACACUGUAAGCUCCUUCCUACCUGUGCUUAUUCUUGGGAACAAACUACUGAGGAGAAUGAAUUACAUUCACGUACAAAUUUUGCUUGAUAAGCUGUCCUAAUAAAGAAAUGUCACUUAAGAUGCUCCUUAUUUCACCCAAUGUAGUUUUCUGACAUAGAAAAAUUCCUGGGCAAAAAAAAUUGAGUAAGAUUUAUUUUUUCUUUUAAAAGCAAAAAGUUUAAACAAGCUCUUCAUUUUCUAUUCUCUGUCUACUUCCUUCCUUUCCCAUUUGUACCCAAGUUCAAGGCACGUGCUGCCUGGAGAAAAUUAAAGGAGAAGCCUGAGGUUUUUCGUGACGCUUUGGCUAUUAUUGCACUAUUAAACACUACUACUCUGUCAGGAACAGAAUCAGAGAGAAUUUUGGGAAGUGAGACUUUACCAACCCGUGCUGUUGAGUUGAUUCCGACUCACAGAGACCCUAUAUGACAGAGUAGAACUGCCCCAUAGAGUUUCCAAGGAGUGCCUGGUGGGUUUGAACUGCUGACUUUUGCUUUGCAGCCAUAGCUCUCAACCACUACACCACCAGGGUUUCCGGGACUUUACCAGCAUCCCAUAAAUUCAAGGUAGAAAAACGCACAUCUUUCGGCACCAUGUUAAAAAAAAAAAGAUGGUAUCACAAAGGAGGAAACACCUGCGUUCUGGAGUUCUGAAACAUCUGGGUUGCACUCCUGCUUCUAAGUAAAUUGCUUAAUUUCUCUUACCGUCUGUUUCUGCAAAUACACAAUGGGAGUAACAACACCUGCCUUCUAAGUCCGCUGUGACAAUUAAAUAAGGUCAUGUGUGGAAAGGCGCUGGUUCUUGGCAGAGUUAAUGUGAUGAGUCAUUAUUUUUACAACAUCUUCACAGAGAUAAUCUAUUCCAGCUGUGAUACAGGUGGAGCUAGCAGAUGUCUUUAAAUUCUUUGCUUUUAUGUAUCCCCUGUUCAUAAGACUGGUGACAGCAUAUGACUGCUAAUUCAAUAAAAUAGUAUAUCUAUUGAGGUGAUUUUAAAAAUCAAACUAGUUUGAUAAACUGCUAAGAUAACUGAUUGAUCAAUUAAGUGUUUGGCCUAGAAGCCCCCGACAGAGUCCCCCUAGUAAUCUAUAUUGCCCAGAUAGUUCCUCUUCUCUACUUGUUUCUUUAAAUAACAAUGUGGAUUUCUUACUUUAUCGUUAUGAUUUGGGAGAUUAUGAAAUGUCUUAGUUAAGAGGUAUAUUAUAUAGUUAUGAUUGGGGGAUUCACUGAGCAUUGGGAAGGGAAUUUAGGUAGCUUUCAGCCCAACCUGAGUUUAUCGUCAAUGAUAUAACAGAGCAGAGAAAGGUGGAAUGACUUUGCCAAAACAUCAUGACUAACGAGUAGCAGGAAAAAUAAAUAAAUAAAUAAAGCCAAACCCACUGCUGUCAAGUUGAUUCCAGCUCAUAGUGACCCUGUAGGGCAGAGCAGAAUUUCCCCGUAGGAUUUUCAAGGCUGUAGUCUUUAUGGAAGAAGACUUCCACAUCUAUCUCCCAUGGAGUGGCAGGUGGAUUUGAACCACUUUCUGUUAGCGGCCCAGCACUUAACCACUGUGCCACCAGGGCUCCUUGUGAGUGGCAGAAUGAGGGAUAAACUCUAGGUUCCUGGUUCCUAAUCUAAUGUUCUUUCCACCACUCCUCUCAAGAUGAUAUGGCACUAGUUUGCACUCUGCCACAUGAAAUUGGAGUUAAAAGUUUAUUUUUUAAAAAAACUGUGUAUAAUAUGUACAUACCUGAUAGGCGUCUACUACCAAAUUAUUGAGGUUUGCAGCCUUUGAUUCUAUUUGACCAGCGAUGGUGCCAGGCAAGAGUGGUAGAAGAUCCUAUAAAACAUAUCAAUUAUGUUUACAUAAUGACAAGAGUAUACUAUGGUUCACCAAUCAAUAAAUAUCAAAUAUUUUUAUAGGGAUGAGUAAAAGGUGAGACAUUAAACAAUUAAAAAAUAUAAGAAAUAAGAAAUAUAUAAGCAACCUAGAGCAGCUAAAGCAUAUACAUUUGAAAUGGUAGUGUGUGCUGUGUAUGUAUGUGCAGGGAUGUGUAUGUGUGUGCACGAAUUGCAUGCUGAUCUAAAAUCUAAUUAAACUACAGACCAGCAUCUCCCAAAGUCUCUUCCAUGGAACAUAGCCCCAAGAGAUUUUAAACAUAAAAAGCCUUCUGAAGGCAAAUAGGUUUGGGAACUUCUGCAUAUGUUUUCUUCCAUUAAGAGACUCCAAAUGCAUAUUUGCAUACUAAAGGUUCUGAGAAGUCCCGCAAUUUGGAAGUAAUUUAACGUUAUUUAAUGAAGCAUUUCCCAACACUUCAUUGAUUACAGAAUACAUUUCUCACAUUAUAUAUAUAUGUAUGUGUAUAUAUAUAUAUAUACACUUUUUUAAAGGACUACUGUCUAUGGAUUGAUCUUUAGGAUGUAUUGGCGUAAAUCAGAGGAAAUGUCAUAAUAACUAGAAGAAGCUUCAUGAACAGGUGUUCUUGAUGGAUGAUGGCACCAAAUAAUUACAGAGAAGACUCUAAGCAUUCCUAGGGGGAAAAUGAGAAUGAAUGAAGGUACAAAGAUUUAUCUGAGUUGUAGAUGAAAUAACAGAACAAACAAGAGUGACUACAGUGAAGCAUAUGUACUUAUAAGGAAUCAGAUUAUGAAAAGUCUUGCAAUCCAUCUAUUCACUCAUUUUACCCUUCAUCCAAAAAAACCAAACCAGUUGCCAUCAAGUUGAUUUCAACUCAUGGUGGCCCCAUGCGUUACAGAGUAGAACUAAGCUUCAUACGGUUUUCUUGGCUGUAAUCUUUAUGGAAGCAGAUUGCCAGGACUUUCUUCUCUGGAGUUGCUAGGUGGAUUCAAACUGCCAACCUUUCAGUUAGCAGCCAAGUGCAAACCAUUUGUGUCACUCAGGGACCUAUUAGCCACUAACAAUUUGAUAUCUUGGUAAUAAGGAAAAUAUAUCACUUAUAGAUUAAAAAAAAAUUUUUUUUUUAAUCAAACCCUUAUUGGAGAUGCUUAACUGCUAGAUAACACAGUUUUCAUCCUUCAAGAUCUCACAAGUAUUUAAAUGACAAUUUCACAAAACAAAGUAGACAUAUGAACAGAUCCUAAUGAGAUAGCAAGAAUUUGAGGGGCUGGUGAAGUUGUCUGGGAUGUUUUCUUGCCAGAGACAACUCAUGAGCUUUGACUUAAGGGUGAGUAAGGGGUCCCCGGUGUCAAAAAUGGUGAAGUGCUUGACUACUAGCCAGAAAUUUGGUGAUUUGAACCAGCUCAAAGGCAGCUCAGGUGACAGGCCCGGAGAGCUGUUUCAGAAAGGCCACAGCCUUGAAAAUCCUCCGGAGCAGUUCUACACUGUAUACAUGCAGUCACUGUGAAUCGGAACUGACUUGACAACAACUAACAACAACAAAUAGUCCCUGAAUGGUGCAAAUGGUUAACUAGGCUUGGCCACUAACUGAAAAGUCGGUGGUCCAAGUCUACCCAUAGUCAUCUCAGAAGAGGGCCUUGGCAAUCCACUUCUGAAAAAAUCAGCCACUAAAAACCCUAUGGGGAAAAAGAAAAGAAAACCCUAUGGAGCACAGUUCUACUCUGACACUCAUGGGGUCACCAUGAGCUGGAAUCAAUUCAAUGGCACUUGGUGUUUAAGAGUUAACUGGGUAAUGAGGGUGAAAGGCAUCCAGGCGUGGGAGGCAGGAAGAAAGAAGAAAGGCACAGAGGAAAGAAACAGCUUGGAGGGUGUGUGUGUAAUGGAAUAUUACAGGCAUCUUUGGAGGGACAAGUGAAAGGCAGGGAAUAGUGGGGGAUGAAGCCAGAGAGGUAAGCAGGGGUCAGAUGGGUUCAUAUGCUACAUUACGGGCUUGAUCCUCUAAGUCAGGGAACCACUGGAGUAUUUUAAGCGAUAGAGUACUGGGGUCACACCUGUGAUUUAAAUAGAUCAUUCUGGCAGCCAGGUGGAGAAUAGAUUUGGGAGAUUUGCUAGUAGGCUGUUACAACCUAGAUAAAAGGUGACUAAUAAAAAAGAUCUCUGGGCAGCAAUAUUCCUGGACAUAUACAGGAAUUGUAACACAGCUUGUCAGGUUUCUAGAGCCUGUUAAUCCUUACUUUGCACACAAUGCAAAUAAUAAUAAACCCAAUUUUAUGAUUUAUCAGUCAGUGGCAAAUUUUAAAAAGGGGUAGAGAGAAACUACCAGAGUUAAUAACAUCUUUAAGAAUAAUAAACAGCAGAAAAAAACAAAGGCAAAAAUCUACAAGAAGUGGCCCAAAAUUUUGAGUCUAUUAUUACGUUUAGAGGUUAAGAGCACAGAAUUUGAGUUGCUAGGAAAUUCUGGGCAAGUAUUUAAAGUCCCUAAAUGUGCUUACUCAUCUUUAAAAGGGCAUAGUAUAUCCCACUACUCCUCUGUCAGUUUGUUGUACUGUAGUGACUUGCAUGUUGCUGUGAUGCUGGAAGCUAAGCCACUGGUAUUUUAGGGUCACCCUGUGUGACAGGUUUCAGCAGAGCUUCCAGAUUAAGAAAGAUGAGGAAGAUGGACCUGGUGAUCUACUUCUAAAAAAUUGGCCAGUGAAAACCUUAUGAAUAGCAAUGUAACACUGUCUGAUAUAGUGCUGGAGGAUGAGCCCUUCAGGUUGGAAGGUGCUUAAAAUAUGACUAGGGAAGAGCUGCCUCCUCAAAGUAAAGUCGACCUUUGUGACAUGGAUGGAGAAAAGUUUUUGGGACCUUCAUGUGCUGAUGUGGCAUGACUCAAAAUGACAAGAAACAGCUGCAAAUAUCUAUUAAUAAUCAGAAUGUGGAAUGUACAAAGUAUGAAUCUAAGAAAAUUAGAAGUUGUAAAAAAUGGAAUGCUUGAAGAUAGAUAUUCUAGGCAUUAGUGAGCUGAAAUGGACUAGUGUUGGUCAUUAUGAAUUGGACAAUCACAUAGUCUAUUGUACAUAGGGUCACUUUGAGUUGGAACUGACUCAAUAGCACCUAACAACAAUAACAACAACAACAAUCAUAUGUUCUACUAUGCUGGGAAUGACAAAUUGAAGAGAAACAGUGUCGUAUACAUUGUCAAAAGAACAUUUAAAGAUCUAUCCUGAAGUACAACGCUGUCAGUGAUAGAAUAAUAUUCACAUGCCUACAAGGAAGGCCAGUUAAUAAGACCAUUAUUCAAAUUUACACACCAACCACUAAUGCCAAAGAUGAAGAAACUGAAGAUUUUUAUCAACUUCUGCAGUCUGAAAUUGAUCGACAUGUAAUCAAGUAGAUACAUUGAUAAUUACUGGUGAUUGGAAUGCAAAAGCUGGAAACACAGAAGAAGGAUCAGUAGUUGGAAAAUAUGGCCUUGGUGAUAGAAGUGAUGCCAGAGAUCACAUGAUAGGAUUUUGCAAGACUAACAAUCCAUUUAUUGGAAAUACCUUUUUUCAACAACAUAAAUGGUGACUGUACACGUGGACCUUGCCAGAUGGAAUACACAGGAAUCAAAUCGAUUACAUCUGUGGAAAGAGAUGAUGCAGAAGCUCAAUAUCAUCAAUCAGAAUAAGACCAGGGGCCGACUGUGGAACAGACCAUCAAUUGCUCGUGUGCAAAUUCAAGGUAGAGCUGAAAAAAAUUAAAACAAGUCCACGAGUGUGAAAGUACAAGCUUGAGUAUGUCCCACCUGAUUUAGAGACCAUCUCAAGAUUAGAUUUGAUGCAUUGAACACUAAUGACCAAAGAUGAGUUGUGGGAUGACAUACAUGAAAAAAGCAAAAGGUCAUUAAAGACACAGGGAAGAAAGAAAAGACCAAAAUGGAUGUCAGAAGAGACUCUGAAACUUGCCUUUGAACAUAGAGUAGCUAAAGAGAAUAGAGGCAAUGAUGUAGUAAAGGAGUUGAACAGAAGAUUUCAAAAGGCAGCUUGAGAAGACAAAGUAAAUUAUUAUAACGAAAUGUGCAAAGAAUUGGAGUUAGAAAAUCAAAACGGAAGAACAUGCUCAGCUUUCUCGAGCUGAAAGAACUGAAGAAAAAAUUCAAGCCCUGACUUGCAUUAUUGAAGGAUUCUAUGGCAAAACAUUGAACAACACGGGAAGCAUCAAAAGAUGAGGGAAGGAGUACACAGAGUCACUGUAUCAAAAUGAAUUGGUCAAUGUUCAAACAUUCCAGGAAGUAGCAUAUGAUCAAGAGCCGAUGGUAGUGAAGGAAGAAGUCCAAGCUGCACUGAAAGCAUUGAUGAAAAACAAGGCCCCAGGAAUUGACGGAAUACCAAUUGGGAUGUUUCCACAAACAGACGGGAAGCACACACUCGUCUAUACCAAGAAAUCUGAAAGGCAGCUACCUGUCCAAUGGACUAGAAGAGAUCCAUAUUUGUGUCCAUUCCAAACAAAGGUGAUCUAACAGAAUGUGGAUAUUAUCAAACAGUAUCAAUAUCACAGACAAGUAAAAACUUCUGAAGAUAAUUCAGAAAUGGUUGCAGCAGUACACUGACAGGAACUGCCAAAAAUUCAAGCCAGAAUCAGAAGAGGACAUGGAACAAGGGAUAUCACAGCUGAUGUGAGAUGGACAUUGGCUAAAAGCAGAGAAUACCAGAAAGAUGUUUACCUGUGUUUUAUACUAUGCAAAUGCAUUUGACCGUGUAGAUCAUAACAAAUUAUGGAUAACAUUGUGAAGAAUGGAAAUUCCAGAACGCUUCAUUGCACUCAUGCGGAAUGUAUACAUAGACCAAGAGGCAGUUGUUUGAGCAGAACAAGGGGAUACUGUGGGUGGUUUAAAAUCAGAAAAGAUGUACGUCAGGGUUGUAUCCUUUCACCAUACGUACUCAGUCUUAUGCUGAGCAUAUAAUCCAAGAAGCUGGACUAUAUGAAGAACAGGGCACCAGGGUUGAAGGAAGACUAACAACCUGUGAUAUGCAGAUGACAUAACUUUGCUUGUUUCUUUAUGGUACAACCUAGGCCACAUCUAGGUAUGUUGCUGCUAUUGAAAAUUAAGAUGAUAUUCCCCAACCUUAACCAGUUUAUUAGGACACACCCAAGGAUCAGUGUAUAAACAAAGCCACUGGACUGAAAGGUGUAGGAAUAGAGCAUGAACUAGUUUUCACCUGAUAAAAGUCUUCUCCAUUAUCUUAAACGUCAGUACCACCUUGAGUACCAGUCUGUGCCCCUGCAUAAUGAAUAUGAUUCUCAAAGAGCAUUUAGUGUCCACACUUGGUUCAAGGUGCUAAAGAAACAGAUGAAAUUUAUACUUCAUAUUACAUACAUCAGUCGGUGCAAUAUUAAAUUUAGAUAGUACAACAAAGGACAAUAACUCUACAAUUCUUAUCUAUGCUGCUAAGAACUGUCCAGAUUUCACCUAUCAAUGUUAACAUUUUAAUCUUUGUGUUUUGGGAGUGAACAUACCUUAUACCAAUGAAACUGUUUCCCCUGAACUGCAAAAAUGACAUUGAUGUUGUUGUCUAUUAAUUUUUCUGAAAGUUGGCCUAGUGAGGGAUGUUCCUGUAACAGAUAAUGAAAUAAAGAAGGAGGUCAAAUUCCACACAUAUCCAAACAUCUAUUAUUAAGAAAACCAUAUGACAUACUUAAAAAUGUACUUUCUUGGGAAGUUUUAUGGGUUACCUAAAAAACCAAAACCCACUGCCGUCGAGUCAAUUCCGACUCAUAGCAAUCCUAUAGGGCACAGUAGAACUGCCCCAUAGAGUUUCCAAGAAGCGCCUGGUGGAUUUGAACUGCCACCGUAGCACUUAACCACUACGCCACUAGGGUUUCCAUGGUUUAUCUUUUUUUUUUUUCUAGUGGAGGCACUUAAAUUCUUUAAAAAAAAUUACUAUAGAGAUUUCAUAGUUACGAGCGCCAGAAAAACCUAUAACUUGGAGGGGGGGAAGGCAGAAUUCAACAUAGUACCAUGUUCAGAUUUCUUUAGAUAAACAUCAGCAUCAAAGUAACAUAACUGAAAAAUAAUGUAAUUGUUAGAAAUAAAGACACCCUGUACUUGAAUGUCAGAUUUGCCACUUGACAAUAAAAAUUCUACCUCAGUUCCAUCCUCUGUAAGAUGGGACUGAUAUCAUCUACCUUGCGUGACUGCUGGGAAGAUUAAGAAGACAAAGAUAGUAUAUGUGAAUUAUUUAGUAUAGUUCUUUGCAUGUAGUUGUUGCUGUUGUUGUUGGGUGCCUUUGAGUGACCCAACUCAGACUCACAGUGACCCCAUGUGAAAGUGUAGGACUAGCCUGUAGGGUUUUCUUGGCUGUAAUUUUUACAAAAGCAGAUUGCUGGGUUUUUCUCCCACAGAACCACUGGGUGGGUUUGAACUGCCAAUCUUUUGGUUAGCAGCUGAGUGCUUAACCACUGUACCACAAGGGCUCCUUUUGCAUAUAGUAGGUAUUCUAAAAUAAUAGCAAUUAUUUUGAUUUUUAUUUCUAACUGCUUCUACAAUGUAUAGGUUAUAGAUAUUUCAAUUUAUUAUUACACUUAAUCUUUUUGUCCUAUGACAUAGUAUAAGCUUGUUUUACUCCAAUAAAUAAAAUUUAUGUACAGCCAACUAUGACAUACUUUGUGGUAACGAGAAAGCUGGUUUGAACAGGGAGGGGGAAUGAAAUUUAGUUUAGAAAAUAUGAGAAACUUGGCAACUACGGAAAUUGCUAUCUAAAGUUAGAGGUAAUACUCUUUUUUUAUUUCUAUAAACGCUCUUCUACAAAUUAAAGUGAUGGUCUCAAAAAACAACUUCUCAGAUUAUGCCAAGCUUCACCUUCAGAAUGUCUGAGCCUAUUCAUUGGUUCCUAACUCCAUUAAGCAAGGACUAAUCAAUUAGAACUGAUCCUAAUUAGUAUCAUCUGAUUGAAGUUCAAAUUCCUCUGUGGUUUUUGCUCUUCCUUUCACCCUCCAAUGCUAAUUGUUUUCUUUAAGGACAAAUUUUACCAAACCAUCUUGGGUAACAUUUCUGUGCUUUGGCAAUUAUGUGAACUUAGUAAAAAGGUUAAAUUUACUAGUUUCACUUUACAGCCUAAUUUCUGUGGCCCACAUAUUAAGCUUACAAACACCGAGAUAAGAUUUUAUAUGUGCUUACUAGUUUAUAUUAAUCAUUAAUGUAAGUAAGCAUAACAAAUACCCUUUUUUAUUUCUAUGAUAAUCUUUAAUGUCAUAAGAGAAACAAACCAAAUUUUCACAAACUGCAUUUAAAUUCAAUAUGAAAGUAAUUUAUGACUUGGGUUUGUAUAACAAAAAAUCCUGCCCAGAACAGUUUUUAAAAAUAUAGUCCUCUUAAAAUAAAAUAGAAUUAUAAAUUCUACCAGCCAUAUUCUUCUGCCUUGUUCCUAAAAAUGUAUAUAAUCUAAAAAUAGGUUUAUGAUAGUUUAUAUGGUUUCAGUAAAUUAAGGAGAACAAGUAAAGGAAGGGUAUUAGGAAUUUUUUUUUCUAAUGGCAGCAACUGCUUUUCACAUGCUUUUGCUUCGACAAAAAGUAAUUGCAGUGUGCCAAGCACUCCUCCCUCUUAAUUUUAAAAACCAUUCAUAUUUUAAGGAAAAUUUAAUCCAUAUGUUUGUAACCAGCUUAUACUUAACUUAUCAUAAAACUGGUUUUUUAAAGAACGAUCCAAAACACAAGCAUUAUUAAUCCCUUUCCUCCUUUCAAAAACAGGAAGUCACAUUGACCAAAAGUACAUAAAAUUAAACUCUAGAAAGUUCUUGUUUGGCCAGAAGCUCAUUAAGAAGGUCAGUUGGAUUUUUAAGCGAAAAGGACAUAUUUUUCUGAACCCUAGAAAGAGAACUGCCUAAAAAAAAUUCCAAGAACCCAGAAGUAGAUUUUUAAAAUUACAAACUUACAACAGAUGUUUAAAUAAACCACUGUUGACAGCAGAGCUGUGGAUUAAUGGCCACUGCUGGCACCCCUCCCCCUUUCCACCGUGAAGUGCAUUAUCUUUUAAGUGUUUUAUCUUUUAUGUCUUCUACUUCACCAGCAGGAGCACACACUCCCUCAGCCAGCUGGUCUGCUCUGGUGAUGUCACUGCUCUUUCAACCCAACUCCCCCUCUUUCUUCAUUACAUAUUGUUUCUCUAAACUCUGAAAAUAAUUAAUAGUGAUAACAGACAUUUCAGGGGCAAAAGGGAGAACUGAACGAAAUGUACUAAGACAGCUGCUAAGUAAUUAAGGCCAAAGGGAUUCCUUUUUCAUUUUUCUUCUUCACUGACACCUUCUCUGUGACCUGUGGGAAGUCACUUGUAAAUGUCAGAAAGGAAGAGGAGGUAAGAAAGAUUCAUCGGGAGCAAUUUCGGUCAGAGAGAUAACUCUGCAGGGAUGUGUGCCCACGCGUAGGUGGAGAAGAAAGACAUGUUUAAAUUCAGGCUCCUCAAGAAAUGAGAUUCACAAAAAAAAAAUUAUUAGAAAUUUCAUGAAUACCAUCCUAAGAACCAAAAAAAUUUUUUUCAUGGGGUAAUCGAAAUACUCAAUUAUCUGAAUUUUUUUUUUUUCAUUUCACUUCUUAGAGAAGAGGCAAAUAACAUAAAAAACACCUGAUAGCAGAGAUUUAUUUGGAGAUGAAAACUUUAAGCAAUGUGCUGUCAGAGCACAUCUAUCCCAAAUGCCUGGUUUAUAUCUACGUGACUGCAAAGUGAUAAUCACUCAGACCAGGUUUUCUCAACUUCAGUACUUGUUGGCACAACAAGUCUUUGUUGUGGGGGCUAUCUUGUGCAUUGUAGAACAUUUAGCUGAAUCCCUGGCCUCUUCCCACUAGACGUCAGUAGCAACCUACCCCCGCCCCCCGACCCCGUCAUGUCAACCAACUAUGUCUCCAGACCCUUCCAAAUGUCUCCAGGGAGCAAAACUGCCUCUCCUUGAGAACAACUUACAUAGUGGCAGUAUAGUAUCAAGAGCAGGGGCUCUGGAGACAGGCAACCUGGGGCUUCAGCUCUUGGCUCUGCAGUUACUAGCUAUGUGACAAUAAGGAAGUGUCUUAACUUCUCUGGCUCCCAGUUUCCGUAUCUAUAAAACAGGUAUGAAUACCAGUAUGCAACUGUCAGUGUUGUGGUGGAGACUAAGUAGCUUGGUCUGAGUAAAGGCUUUCACCUAUCAUUCCGUAAUUAUUAGUCCCAGAUUAGUGGUGAGCAGGGGCUCAUGUCCUGAUGCCACAUUGGUUGGCAUCUAUGUAGACACUUGUGCAUGUGCCUGUGUGACUGCAGACAAGGUUCUGAUCCUUUUAGUGCCUCGGUUUUCUCAAUUAAAAAAUGGAGGUAAUAGCAAUAUAGCAUAGACCAGGGUUUCUCAACUUCAACAUUACUGGCAUUUUGGGCUGGAUAAUUCUUUGAGUUGCUGAGUCGGAACCAACUCAUGGCACCAACAAUAACAAACAACAAUUCUUUGUUGUAGGGGGCUUACUUGGAUAUUUGGUUGGUGUUACAUAAAUGUAAAGAGCUAGACACUACAAGACUGCUUAAUAAAAGACAGAUUUUAGUAAAGACAGUUUAAUAAAAGACAUUCGGAAGCCAUUAGCAAAGGUUACAUGUUAGGGUCUUAGAUAUGCUUUGUGUGACCUGACCUACUUACUUACCCUUCUUGCCUAGUCCCUGAAGGCAUUUGAGCUUGUGGCUCCUGCCAAAUACGAUAUCAACUGUAAUCAUGAUAUUCUGUUUACUGAGAAGAAAACCAAAAAACCAAACCCAGUGUCAUCAAGUCGAGUCCAACUCAUAGCGACCCUAGGGCAUGGACUAAUCAUUUCUGUAAGAUUUUCAACAAAAGUGGCAAUAAAAAGUUUUUGGCUUAAAUAUGAUUUAAUCAAGACAUUAGGACAUUCCAGUUCAUAAAGUUUUCAUCAAAUUUGUUUUUAUUGUGUCAUUUUUUGCAAAUCAUUUUUACUCCUUUGGGAGGCACUAUAAAAGCACUGCCAGGCUACUUGGAGCCUGGUACAGGUGAUUCUGCAUGCAAUUUUUGCUUUCAAUUAAAAAAAAUCAAACAAAACAUUGCUUGCAGAGCAAAUCUCUUUACUAAAAGAUUAAAAUUAUCUCCUUAAAUGGAAUGCUGUCUGAUAUCAGCAUUAAUUAUAAAUGAGUCUCCCAGACUUUGAAGAUGUCAGAAAUAAUUCUUUCUGAUGAAAAGCAACAUUGAAAUAAUUAUAAUAACUUUAUAAAAGUUCAUUAACUCAGGUAGCAGAGUUACAAAUGAAAUCAGUACAGUAUGUUCUUGAACUCUUUCUUCAUCUGUAGUUCUGGAUAAAUUGAAUGUAAUUCCAUGUAAUUGAGACACAUGGUAACAAGAAAGCUUCCCAAAUCAGUCACUAACAAGUACAUGUUAAAGUUAUAUGGGAAGUAGAACAAUAUUGAUUGGUUUUACCCGUGGUUAUAGUUUGGUUAAUAAUGGUUAGUAAUGACUAAUAUGACCUGUAAUUCUGCCUCAGUCAUUUGUGUUGGUUGUUCUAGUCUAGUUGAAAGUCCAAGUAGUCUAUCCAAGGAGCCCUGGUGGCACAAUGGUUAAGAGAUUGGCUGCUAACCAAAAGGUUGGUAUUUGAAUCCAUCCGCUGCUCCUUGGAAACCCUCUGAGGCAGUUCUGCUCUGUCCUAUAGGGUCUCUAAGUCAGAACUGACUUGAUGGCAAUGGGCUUUUUGUUUGUUUGUUUGUUUAGUCUACCCAAAUGAGGUUGAAGGAAAUGCCGUGAACUAUGAAGUCAGCUGUAAGAAAAUUCUAAGGAGGUGUAUAAUAAGAGGAGGGAAGAAUCACUGGCUGUGAUGUUAUGAGGUCAUGCCAGUGACCUCGGUAGAGGUCUGUGUAGAGAAAGAAACAUCACGCCUAAGCUUGUAAGUACAAUUAGGAGUAGGGAGCAGGGUAUGGUCUCCCCAUUUGAAUCUCUUUAUCUAAGACUAAGAAUCAUACUAACACCUGAAAAUCCCAUUAAUAAGGGUUCACUGGAUAUAUAUAUAUAAUAUUUGUUAUAUUAUUAUUAUAUAUUAAUAACAAUAUUUGGUUUUAUAAUUUACAGUUUAUUUUGUCUUUAAGUCAUAAGUAAGACUGCAGCCAAAAAGUUAGACCAGCAAUUUCACCAAGAAUAUCAUUGCUCUAUUUCUUCAAUGUUUCAGUUGAGACACUGUGUGGUAAAGUAGGUGAGAAUAUAGAUUUUGAUAUAAGACUGAACUGGAUGGAGCCCCAGUUCAGCCACUUUUCAGCUUUUUAGCUAUAUGUCCUCAGGUAGUUUACUUAACCCUUCUGACCUUCAAUUUUUCUAUUUAUAAAAAGAGGAUAAUUAUGACUACCUAAUAAUUUUUUUUUUUUAAUAGAGUUAUUAUAUAAAGUUAUUGGAAGGAUAAAUUUGAUACUGUAUCCAAAGUGCUACAGUGUUUUUGGUUAAUAAAUAUUAAAUUUUAAUAAAUAUUAAAUAAUAAAUAUUAAAUUUAAUAAUAAAUAUUAAAUUUAGUAAACAUUAAAAAAAGAGGUAGUUGCUAUUAUUCUGGGAUUCACACUGACCUUCAUGAAAUGGCUAUGCAUACAUGCAGUAGAAUUCUGGUCCAUGUAAUUUAGAAAUAUAAAAGUUCUGUUAUCAACAAUUUUCUUUAAUACAUAAAAUAACCAGAGUCUUGGAUCAAGAAGCUCAGAUACCACUCAACAUUACUUGUAUUGGCUGCUAGAGAUAAGUCAGGAAACAGAGUAUUUGAUUACUUAUACCUAUGCUUGCUUAACUUAAACAGUUUUAAAUUUCUCUGUUACAGCCAAAUAAGAGAGGGAGGACUAAAUAUGCUUAGAGUCAGGGUCAGGGUAGCCUUAGACGUAGAAGAUGCCAGAGCUGUGGCACAUCUUGCGUAUAUAUAAAUGCGUGGUACUGGUUGUCAGUCAAAAUGCUUCAACUUCUUUUGUUUUAAAGCAGUUUUCCCCAAAAUGAAGGGGGUGACCAUUUUUAGAAAGAGGAACCGUUUAAAGUGCACACCUGGGAUAAUGGAAAUAGAAUUAUUCUCCUAAGGUAUUAACAAAUGCAUUGUCCCUCAAUUUACUCAAUAUAUCACACCAGUGGCAUCUGGGAGGUUCAUUCUUUUAAAGAAGUGGAAAAAUGUUCAAGAAGGAAAAUGCAAUUCAUGACAGAUUGUCCAAAUUCCUGGUGUCAUAAGAACCCGGUCAACCACUGCCAAAAUUCCACCAGAUUUAUAAUUUAUUUUCCUAAGAUUCUAUGACAUGAUACAUGUCCAAAAUUAUGAGGCCAUUUCUUUGCUUAAGGAAUACUCCCUAGAUAAGCAACAACUCUCUCUCAAAUAGAAUUAUAGAGGGAUGACUUCAGUGACUUGGCAACACUUCAAAAGAAUAAUGCAAUUUGAGAACAACGUGAUUGUUAUUUUCUUAAAAAAAAAAAAAAGUUUCUCCUGGUCUCACAGUAGAAUGGUUCCUCCUGUCUCUGCCUCUCCUCAAUAAUUAAAUGUGAACUCCACUUCAGAUUAAAAGAGGUUAAAUAGAAGGAAGUUAAUGAUAGGUAUGAAAUGACAAAGCUGGAGUGGAUGGGUCUGCCAAAGGGAAAUGUGGCUGAAUAGGAGGGAAUUAGCAAAUGGAAUGACACUAUAGGGAUAACGCUGAAUCCUACAUUUUUUUCAUUCAAACUCUAAUUACCUUUUAAAAAUCUUUACACUUUGAGAUUGCGUUCAAGAGACUAAACCCACGAAGGUUUGAACGUGUGUUAUGUGAUAUUACAACUGCCCCUCUAGGCUUUCAACAGGUGCUCCAGAUUAACUGUUAAUCUGUUUAAUUUUCACCGGGGAGACAUACAAAUGUCAGUAUCACUUAGAGGCUUCUAACAGCGCAGUUACAAAACUCUGUGCAGAGGUGCCCCAGGCCACCACAGCGAACUCACAAGGGUACCAGGAGGUAUCUUAAAUUUUCAAGGGAAACACAGUCAAACCCAAUAGCUGCCAGGUACCCAUAGCUGGAGGUAGUUCACGGUAUUAACGUUAGAUUCAACUGUAUUUCUUUAGACGAAAUAUAUGCUUGCAAAGCUGAGUUUUUGGAGACUGUUCUGAUAAACAAGGGCAGUGUGGAAAUCAAUGUAGAACAGGAAAUGAGGGUGGUGAUGUCCAAUCUGAUUUCAAGAUGUGGGAAGUUGCCAUUAGUAAGUCAUUACGAGUAUUUAAGGAUGACAUAAAUACACACAUGAACACUCAUAUAUGUGCAUUAUUUUUUUUUAAUGGGCUACUAUAUCGUUAGGACAUAAUAUUUAUUGAAUUAUUUCAACCUAACUACUUAAUAAACAGAAACCCUGGUGGCAUAAUGGUUAAGUGCUACAGCUGCUAACCAAGAGGUGGACAGUUCAAAUCCACCAGGCGCUCCUUGGAAACUCUAUGGGGCAGUUCUACUUUGUCCUAUACAGAAAUCCUAUUUGUCAGUUGGCAGUUCAAAUCUACCAGCCAUUCCCUGGAGACCGAAGGGGCAGUUCUGCUCUAUGCUAUAGAGUUGUUAUGAGUUGGAAUCAACUCGAUGGCUUAAUAAACUUAAUAAACAGAACUGUCAAGCAGUUCUUUUGGUCUACAGGCACUAUGGUAAAAUUGGACACAUUAAGGGCACCAAAACCCAAAAAAGUUUGGAGAUUUCUGUGUCAUAUAUUUGCGUAAAUGUAUAAAUAGGUAUCAGCAUGAGAAACAAAAUGAUGCUUUGUAUAGUUGGUUUUCCACAUCUAGAAUUAGCUAUGUUGAGAAGAUGUGGUUCUGGAAGACUGUAUUUAAGCACAGAGUUAUACCUUACUCUAACCCUCAGGAAGCAAUCCAGAUAUCCACUGAUUUCAAAGUACGCUCUACACAUCGGUAAGUUUUCAGAAGGAAGGAAUGAAGCAGAGUAUAGAAAUCCUGUCUUGUUUUACUAAUUCUUAUUUUUUUUUUAAAUCUCUUUUUAGUUUCUACUGAUUGCAUUGUGAGGAUUUCUAAGGCUUGAUACAGUUUUCUUACUACUCCUUAAUAUGUUUGUAGAUACUAACACUGUAGAACUAGUUUUAUUUGUAUAAAGCAAAGCCCUUGUAUCACUUUAUUUUCAUGGAGUGUUUUGUAGCACAUCAAAGAGUCAGUUACUAGAUACAAUCAAAGUAUUUUAGCAUUAUAUAUAUAAAAAAAUCAGCAUUUAUAAAUGGCAUCGUUCUGUAUCUCUCUGUCAUGGCUUAGCCUGGCUCUCUAGCUUGCUCUUUUAAGUAAUCUCUUGCUACAAGAACAGCUGAAUUGCCAGUUUAAACUCAUACUUUAACCAAAGAAGCCAUAACUACUAAGAGCCAAUGCUACAUUACCAUGCUUGUGGACUUGACAUAGACGUUGUUUUUCAUAUGGCAGUUCCCAUCGUUUGGCACCACUAUGCCUGCCAGUUUGCUAUCAAGAGCAAGAUGAGAUGUCUGAUCUGUCAUCACCAGCAGCAAUCUCUUAGCUUCUUUUCGCCAUCCAAUAUGACUCUUAGAACAAACAUGGAAUUAGACCUUCUACAAUAACAUAGAUCUGCACUGUGGUCUUUACCUACCAGGAAACAUCACUUCGAGUGAACGAACAUUAAGUCAGGCUGGAAUGGUGUGCACGAAUUUUUUCAGAAGAAGCAUUAAUUUGUGAUUGCUUGUUCUAUUUAAUCACAGCCAUUUGUCCACACUAACUCCUGGCCAGAGAUUUCCAGUGUUCCUCUGCAGGAAGAACAAGCCAGGUUUCUUAAGUGGGGGCACCCAAGGUGGUACACUAGGCUGUUUCUGGUACCUCCUUGGAGGGUGGUCCAGGAAGAGAGAAGCCCUUUUGGAAAAAGAUUUCCCACAUGCAUAAGUUAUUCUUUCCCUUUUAUCUCUUUCUAUUUAUAUCCCUAUCCCAAUUUGGUCUCUCUGCCUCAAACACAUACCAAAAUAAAUAACAUUGGCGACUAAUAAGAGAUAGGAGAGGAAUGUAUGCUUUUAUGCUAUUCUGAAAAUCAAAGAGAAAGUAAAAAUUCUAAAUUCUUUCAGAGUUUUGCAUCUGAGCAAACACUCAAACACUUGAACGUUUUUACCUCACAGACGGCUGCCUGAAGCAUGGCGUCAAAACCUCCUUCUGGCGUAUCGAUAUUUCCAGAGAUCUUCUGUCUGUGAACUGCUUUUUCAAACUCGGUAAUGUUCUCCGUCAAAGACAGCACAUGAAUGUACCCAUGGGGAGGCAUGCAGUCUAAGUUAUAGUCACUACAAGAGAAAAGGAGAGAAGGAAAUUGCAUUUUGCUGAGCCUCCUUCAAAGUUCCAGAAUGCUAAUGGCAAUAAAGUUGAAUAGUUGGCAUGAGAAGGGAAUCUGCUCUUUUGCCAAGGACAUUUUACAAGGGGAAAAUCUGUACUUUCUAAGAUCAGAAAGAAGUUCAAUAUUGCUGAAUAUUUAUUUGCAAGUAGGAAAGUGGCAUCUAAGAAUUUGGUGUUCAAAAAAUAAAGAAGGUUAAACAUGCUUCUCCAAUACAGAACACGUAAUGGCUUUUGAUAUGCUAAUCUGCACAGUGAGUUUUCAAGAGGGAGUAAGAGUUUAUAGCGAUUCCCUAUCAUAUUUGAUCACUGAACAGCUGAUGAACACUUCUGGGGAAAUAUUUUAGGAAUUUAGUUCAAACACCAUGUUAUUGUUUGAUUUUUGAAAAAUAUUGCACCGAUUUUAAGAAUGAUGCUUGGUGUGCAAUUAUCGACGAAUGAUAAAUUUUUAAGUGUUUUGUGAAUUUCAUGAUAUUCUAAAAAGUGAGAAUCAUUCCUUUGGUGUAUUGACAUUCCAAAGAAGGCUCCUGAAGCUCCAUUAGGAGAUCAAUCAGUCUCUCUUCCAGUACAGCAGAGAGCAGAGUUGUUUUGGUAAAUUGGAAUAUACACUGUAAGGUGACCCAAGCAAUUUAUGGAAGCAGGAGAGAACAUGUUAAAAUAAAAUGUUUUAGGAAGGAAGAACUGUACACAUUUAUUUCUCUCAGAAAAUUCAGCAAGCUAGCGAUAGUAGUGUGUGAGAAACAUUUUGAGGUCAGUUUUUUCACGGUGGAACAUGUGCUAUUGAGGAUCAGACCUAAAAUGAUAAAAGCAUUCUUUCUGAACAGCCAAAUUCUCCUCCUCUGACCUCCUCUUCAUGUGGCAGCUGAACUUUCUUUGCUGUCAGGUAUAAGCAACAUACUUUUAACACAAUCACAAUAAAGUCAUGGAAAUAUAGAUGUGGUACUGACAGGAUAAAUACUUUAAAAUACAACAAAUUUGGAGCAUUCAAAAAGCAGAAAUGCAGAAUUUCUGAAGGAAUAAUGAUAUACGUGGCAAUCUCAUUACUGAUGUUUUAUACAGUUACUAAUAUUAUAGAGAAUUUUUCAAAUAAAAAUGGAAUAUUUGAAGAAAUAUAUAAUAAAAAUUCAAGCUAUAGUUUCGAGUUUUCAUAGAAACACUUCUCCCCCCAAAUGUUUUAGAUUCUAAUUUAAUAAGACAAAAACACAAAGUUUUAUGUGUUCUUUAUAUAAAACAAAAACAAAGUGAGAUAUUUUAAGAAAAAAAAAAUUGUUUAUGAGGUCUUAAAAACCUGUGAGUGGCCAUCUAAUAUACUCUACUGGUCUCACCCCUUCGGGAGCAAGGGAGAAUGAAGACUAAAGACACAAGGGAAAGAUUAGUGCGAAGGACUAAUGGACCACAACUACCGUGGCCUCCAUCAGACUGAGUCCAGUACAACUAGAUGGUGCCCGGCUACCACCACUGACUGCUCUGACGGGGAUCACAGUAGAGGGUCCCCGCCAGCGCUGGUGAAAAAUGCAGAACAAAAUUCUGAUUCACGAAAAAAGACCAGACUUACUGGCCUGACAGAGACUACAGAAAUCCCGAGAGUAUGGCCUCGGACACCAUUUUAAGUCAGUAAAGAAGUCACUCCUGAGUUUCACCCUUCAGCCAAAGAUUAAAAACAAACAAACAAACAAAAAAACCCUGUUGCCGUCGAGUCGAUUUCGACUCAUAGAUUAGAUAGGCCCAUAAAACAAAAUGAGACUAUGAGACUAAAGGGGCACACCAGCCUAAGCACAAGGACUAGAAGGCAGGAGGGCACAGGAAAGCUGAUAAUAGGUAAACCAAUGUUGAGAAGGGAGAGUGUUGACAUGCCUUGGGAUUGUUAACCAAAGAAAGAGAUAAAAGAAAAAAAAAUUUGUUUAGCAAUCUGAAAUCCACAUCAAACACUAGAUACCUGCACUGAUUAUGAAUCCUUUCUGGGUGGAUGCUAAUGUAUGGUGAAACGGUUUUAUCAACGUAUGAGCCAAAUCCAAGGCGGAAGUCAAGGGAGAAAAGUGACAUUUUUCUAGAUAAAUCAUUUCCAACAGAAUUUAAUUUUUCUAUAUUAUUGUGCAUCGAUGCUGAGACAUCAACUAGAUAAUAAAGAUCCACAGGAUAUUUCUUCAGAGGAUGAAUUUUCAACAUAAAAUUAGCUUCAGCUCCUAGUUCAAAGAAAGGAAAAAAUCAUGUAGUCUUGAUUUCAACAUCAUAAAUCAGGCACAUGUUAGCAUCUAGAAUAAUUAUCACAAAUUUACCCAUAAUGAAUGAAAUGAGGAAUAUUCUGGAAUAAUUUUAAGGCAAUUUGAAAAGCAUACCAAUUUAUUAGUCUCCAAUAUCUGCAAUGCAUUCCCCACAAUUCUGUAGAGCAGACAGUAACAGAUGGUCCAGCUCAAUAUAAACGUAACAGGGAAUCUACCUAUCUUCAUAGGAACCUGUAUUUCCCUUGGUAUCUAGAAAAGCACAGCACAAAACAGCAGGCAGCAUCUCUAUUCCAAGAGAGAAUACAUGGCUGUGUUUGUGGAACGAUUUGAGGAAAACCAGAAAGGUACCUUAGGAAAAUUACCUCUUGUUGGAUGCAGGGGUAAAUUUAUUCUUUUGGGUUAAGCCAUAUUUACAUAUCAGAUGGGAGAACUCUAGUACUGGGUAGUACAUUAAGUUAUGCAAAAUAAUUAGUACCUCACAAAUUACUUGAUAAAAUUCUUCCCAAAAAUUAGCUGGAAGAAGAAAUGAGAGUGGUUUAAAGAAUAGUACCCAGGAUCACCACACUGGGGACUUAAGGAACAUACACGAUAGCCUUUGUCCAACACAUAGUUGGUGCUCAAUAAAUAUGUUGAAGAAAGAUCACAGAAUCACUGGCUCUGGGAAAAAGAACCUCAUGAAAAGAGAGAAAUGUGGGGAAAAUCCCAAGGACAACAAUAUCUGCAAUCUAGUUUUGUUUAGCUCUGCCCAUUACUGUUACAUACAACGACCUGGGUUAUUCUCCUAGCACCCCACAUAAUUUAAAAUAUAUAGUGAAAGAGCAUCAAUUUAAAUCCAGGCAAUUUAGAAUUUUUUAGUUAUACUUUUUAAAUCAAUAAAAUAAAUGUUUUACAAGCGAUUUACUAUAUGUUCUUGGAGAAUGAGGCUUCGAGUGGAAGAAAGUUUUGUUUUGUUUUUAAAUAAACAUGAAUUUGUAUAAGCAAUUGAUAGUCUGAUCUACUUAUUAAAGACAUCCCCUAAUUUACCAAAUCAUAUAUAGGGUCGCUAUGGGUCAGAAUUGACUCGACAGCACUGGGUUUGGUUUGGUUUGGUUUUUGGUUUAUUUUCAGUCUUAAUGUGCUUAAAAGUAGCAAUAUUUUCUUUUAUGUUAUUCUACAAAUCAGAUGUUUUUCAAUCAUAUCAUCUAUCUAAUGUAUUCAAAAUAAUAAGGUUUUACAAAAUAUAUAGUAAUAAUUAUGGGAGUAUGGGGCUAUUACUCAUUCCUAAUUUACCUUUCUGUGGCAGAAACUCCAUUAGUGUAGCAUUCUUAGCUUUCUGGUCCAAAAAUUUCAAAAGAGAACCUGGGCAUGCUUAGCCUAGCCCAGCUCACUCUCUCAGCCCUUCCCUUUAGGAGCUAGGCUGCUAAAUCCUAAAUUCUGCUCUGUUUUCUGGUGUCUGAUGAGGAGACUUGCCCCUGUGUAUGUGUCCUACCAUUUGGGUAAACAUUAAUUCAGGAGACUGUUAGGAUCUGGUACACAGGCCCAGAUGAAUGAAAAAUAGAAGCAGAGUGUAAGGAGAACUGGGAUGUUGUCCAUGCAGAGAGAUGUGAACUUGAAUGUUUGUUUUGGGAUUUUGAUCUCGGCAAUGUGUAGAGACAUGCUUGAGCCAUAAGCUGUUUUUAUUUGUUGUUGUUGUUGCUUUUUUAAAAAUUGUGUAGUUGGUUCUUAACUGUUGUGACUUAGAAGACUGAUAUAGCUGACAGCCUUAAGCCGCGGUCAAACGUGCCUUUCAUCCUGGUGGGUCAUCGCAGCGACCCUGUUAAAGAUGGUGGCUUUCUCUUUUCAUAGUGUCAAAGCUAAAUGCACUGAAUAUUCAGCAUAUUGUGCAGGGGUCUUACUAAACAGGCAGUUUGGUGGCCUCAGCAAACAGGAAGAGUCUGUGUAGCAUCAACAAAGGCACAGUCUUUGGAGGCCUAAGCUAUUCAGGGAGCUCCAACCAAAUGCCAUACACAGGGGGGCCCUCAGCAGACCCUAGCAAGUAAACUCUGGUCUCCUGGCCUCAGUAAAGAAGAAGGAUGUGAGCAAGCCUUGCCAAAUGGUCAGAGUUUCAGAGUGCAAUCAUGCUGUAGCUUAAUUUUGGAUUACAUAGAUACUGGCCUUGGCAAAUGUACUGGGGCCAGUUGAAGAUUUCAGCAAAGACAGAGGUCUCAGCAAAACGAGUUUUCAGAAAAGGGAAAUAGAGAAUCUUUCAAUAUACAGGCCUUUAGUUAUUUCUGGAGAGAACAAUAAUCACUACUUUAAAGCUGCAAAGUAGCUGAGUUCCCUGGGAGAGUCUAGCUUUGAGUAGCCGGUCCUAGGGAGGUAGCUCUAGAUAGGCUGACCCCAAGUCCCGUUCUGCUUGUUAGGAAGGAAACUGAAGAGACCAAGCUUGGCCUGCCAGGGCUUGCUUGUGAGCUUGAGAAACUUCCCACAAUAUGUUUUCAAGUUGGCUUUGGAUUGGAUAAUUGUAUAUGAGGGAGAAAUCUUCUGUUGGAGGCACGUUUUUUAGGCUUAUAUUUAGUUAUAUUCAAUGACAUUGUUACAUAAACAAGGGUAAAUUUGGCCUGGAGUAUACCAUCUAAAUAUGUUUGGUUGUAAGGUAACAUGGGUUAAUAUUUAAAAUAAGCGUUCACGGUGGUACACUUAAGUCAAUGUACCAUUUUAUCCUUCACAAAAGUUAAUUAUAGCUGCUUUUGUCAUCUUGGGGAUUUUGAGUGUUGAAGAUAAAGGGCAAUGGUUAUUUACUUUAUGUUUCUGGUAUCUUUCUUUACCCAUCACAGGAAGUAAACUAAGUAAUUUGCUACAAUGGGGAAUGAAAUGGGUGAUGACUCAGUUGUUUUCCUGUUCAUGUCUUUGUUGUCAUGGUGUAAAGACUUCAUUCUUUUCAGUAGCUUUCUAUUUCUGGAGUACAGGUAAAUGAGAAGAACGUACUUGGGUGUGUGCUUAUGUGAAUAGCUUUAAAAUUACAUUAUUAUCUUACGCAUCUUAGGUCUUUUUUGUUUGUUUGUUUCUCUCUACAUUAGAGAGUCAGUUCCUAUCACUGACAUAGGUAACGACUGAUUAGGUCAACUGUGAGGAAAAUAAUUACAGCUGACUAUAGUAUUUGGCUGACAAUAACACUUCUUUCUAGAGUUUUUUCCCCCCGCUUAUGCAUGUAGAAUUUCCAACAAAAGGCAGGAUAGGGUUAAUUUUAACACUGUAACUCAAACUACUGCUGACAUCCUACAGGGUUUAAAGUUUGGGAAUCUGUUCUGACAAUUUGGUCUUCGGCCUAUUUCUUUUUUAUCAAGUAAAAUACAGCAACAUAAAACUCAUUUUAGUAUGCCACACCAUAGGACCACCGCUCAUUUGUUAGUUUGUUGUCUGUGGUGGCUUGGGUGUUACUGUGAUGCUGGAAGCUAUGCCACUGGUAUUUCAAAGACCAGCAGAGUCACCCACAGAGGUCAUCUAUCAAGGGAAUCAUGGCCGUUAUGAAAUAUAUGUGUACUCUCCCAUUCACUCUGCUGGGAACUGCUAGAGCUAUGUGAACACACCACACUUUAAUCUUGCAGAGCAUCACAGGAGACACAACGAGGCCCCACUCCUCCUGCUUAAGAAAGGCUGGAGGAAGGGCAAGGCAAGAGAGACUGGGCUGGGAAGUCAUGAACCCACACACUCAGGUUUUAGCAGAGCUUCCAGAAAAAGAAGAAGGACCUGGUGGUCUACUUCUGAAAAAAACCAGCCAGUGAAAACCUUAUGAAUAACAGCAGAACGAGGACUGAGCAGUGUUUUAUUCGGUUGUACAUAGGGUCACUAUGAGUUAGGAACUGACUCAAUGGCACCUGACAACACCAUCAUAGCAAUAUGCUCCCUUCCAUGCCAGCCUUUCUUGACUUUUGCCUGGAUUAUUUCCAGAGCCUCUUCAUUUGUCUUCUACUCCAGUCUCCUUUUCCCACAGUCACUAUCUACAUCAUUAAGUUGAUCUUUCGAAAACUCAGAAUUGCUUGUCACUCCCUGCUUAACAUUUGUCAAUAACUCUUCAUCAGAUGGCUAAUGUCCAAGUAUUUAACAUGACAGAUAAGUAUCUCCAUAAUCUUGCUUCUAUCUAUAUCUUGUAUUCCAGCACAUCAAACUUCCCUACAUAAAUUACACAAAUCCAUCCUCCUAUGCCAAGCUUAUGUCUUUUUUCUGUCUGUCGUGUCCUCUUCUUCACCUAACUACCACUUCAAGACACUGCUCAGUUAUCUGCUCCUCCCUAGACUGGGCUAAGCAUCACGCCUCUGUGUUUCCAAGGCAACUGGAUCAUAGUGAUAUUAUGGUGCUUACCACAUUAUUAUGAGAUUCCAGAUUGUGCACCUUUACCUUCCCUUAGUCACUAAAAACUACUAAAAAACAAAACAACAAACAAACAAAAUAAAAUAAACUGCCCUUGAAUUGACUCUGACCCAUAAUGACCCUAUAGGACAGAGUAGAAGUGCCCCGUAGGGUUUUAAAAGGCUGUAAAUCUUUACGGAAGCAGACUGCUGCAUCUUCCUCCCGUUGAGCUGCUGGUGGGUUCAAACCGCUGACUUGUUGGGUUAGCAGUCGAUCACUUGAACCACUGUGCCACCAGGGCUCACUUCUAAGAGCUCCUAGAUAUUUUACAAAUCUUUGUAAAAUAUUUAGCACAGUACUAGAUGUAGAGUAUGUUAGCAAUUAUUAUUGCUACUACUCAAUUCUAAGCAACUUCAGGAUAAGAAUUUUAUGUUUAUUCACCUCUGAAAGCCUCUGUAUUUUGCACAUGUAUAGUCAACUCAAUAAAUGUUUUAGAACUAAAGUACAUGUGAUAUCCAUUUUGGUACAGCAUUUCAUAAGGCCCACAUAUUUACCAAACUAGGAAGCUAACAGCUAUGUCUUCUUUCCCACAGUGUUUGUUACGAGAGCUUACACAGAAUUUCUCUAUUUAAGAGCAAAAAAAAUAUCACCUAGCCUCAGAAUGUUUAUGCUGCCACUUUGUUAUCUCCAGGAAAGCUUCAUCCCCACACCUUUUCAGAUUCUGAAGGCUAGGGUCCUUAUGUCUUUCAAUUAACCUCUAAAUGAAGAACUGAGUCCGUAACACAGACUAGCAAAGAGGCCUUGGAGGAAAUGUGAUGACCUAUGUAGAGCUAUUGCCAGUGAUUGGUUUGAAUACAUCAAAGAAUUAAGAGUUAGAAUGAGUUUGUGAACCACUCAGAUGAAGGUGUGAGCACCCCUGAUGAAUUGGCUACAAUGAAGAAAUGGUUAGAUAUUAAGAAAAGGUAACUAAAAAUUUUUCUGCAUGAGAUAAAACUGAAAAAUGAAGAAAACAUGGAAAACUGUAGGAAGAAUAAAGAGAAGUCAAUUUCUAUUCAGUAUAAUUGAGCAGGGGAAAGAGAAGGUCUGAAAUUAAGACAGCCUAGUUUUUCAAAACAGCAAGGAAUGGACUCUAGCCCACUUCUGAAUUUCUGUGGGAGAUAAAACAGAGGAUGUGUGCCUGGGGCUGAGGGAAGAAAUGUGGGGAUUUCUACUGCAGUUUUUAAAUGCUUUGAAUUAAGUAUACCUGAAAAAUCCUAAGUUUUAAAAUAUGCUGUACUAAGUUAAAGGACUUCUUUAAACUACUAAAAUAAAAUUUGAAAAUUUUCUUAAAUUAGUGAAGUAUAAAAAACGCACUGUUGUUGAGUCGAUUCCGACUCAUAGCGACCCUAUAGGACAGAGUAGAACUGCCCCAUAGAGUUUCCAAGGAGUGCCUGGUGGAUUAGAACUGCCGACCUCUUGUUUAGCAGCCAUAGCACUUAACCACUACACCACCAGGGUUUCCUAGUGAAGUAUAAAGGUUAUACUAAUUCUUCUCAUACAUGUUUUCUCUUUUGAAGCAAAGCUAGAUAAUUACCUUCUCUCCCCUACUUACUAAGGACUUAAUUUUCAGCAUUCUUGGGAAAUAUUAACUUGUAUCAGUUGUCUAUUUCUGUUAUUAUUUUUCUAUAAGAUAAAUAAGUAAAAAUAAGCAAACAAAGAUACAGUUUAGGAAGAAGUAAAAGCUAAUGUCAAUUUUUUCAAUCUCAUUUAAAAUAUUUGAUUUUAAAUAUAGUCCAGCUAAUAUUAAGCAACGUCAUGGCAAACGGAGAAAGUAUUGAAGCUGUCAAAGAUUUCAUCUUACUUGGAUCCACAAUGAAUGCUUAUGGAAGUAGCAAUCGAGAAAUCAAAUAACGCAUUGCAUUAGGCAAAUCUGGUGCAAAAGAUCUCUUUAAAGUGUUAAAAAGCAAAGAGCUCACUUUGAGGACUAAGGUGUGCCUAACCUAAGCCAUGGUAUUUUCAAUCACCUCAUAUGCAUGUGAAAACUGGACAAUGAAUAAAGAAGACCGAAGAAGAACUGAUACAUUUGAAUUAUGGAGUUGGGGAAGAAAAUUGAAUAUACCAUGGAUUGCCAGAAGAACAAACAAAUCUGUCUUGGAAGAAGUAUGGCCAGAAUGUUCUUUGGAAGCGAGAAUGGCAAGACUAUGUCUCAUGUAUUUUGGACAUGCUAUCAGGAGGGACCAGUCCCUGGAGAAGGACAUCAUUCUUGGUAAAGUAGGGGGUCAGCAAAAGAGAGGAAGACCUUCAACAGAUGGACUGACACAGUGGCUGCAACAAUGCUCAAAGAUACCAACGACUGUGAAGAUGGUGCAGGACCGGGCAGUGCUUUGUUCUGUUGUACACGGGGUAACUAUGAGUCAGAACCAACUUGAAUGCACCUAACAACAACAGCAACAUUCCUUUAAAAAUUUAGUCAGUGUUAUGAUGUAAUAAAAAAUCCACACAAAAAAAAGAAAUAAUCUUAGAUGCCACAUUUAAGGUUGUGAAUUUUUAUUGGAUAAGAAUAAAGUCAUCUUGGAUUAGUCUGAAUGAGAAAGUUGAGAUACAGUUGAGCUAUAGAUGUCUACUGGAGUCCCUGAGUAUGGCAAACAAUUAACACACUUGGCUGCUAACCAAAAGAUUGGCAGUUCGAGUCCACCCAGAGCUGCCUUGGAAGAAAGGCCUGGUGAUCUAUUUCCAAAAAAUCAGCCACAGUUCUACUCUGACACACAUGGGUUACCAUGAUUUCGAAUCCACUAGAUGGCAACUGGUUGGUAUAGGUGCAGGACUGGUUAAUGUUGAUAUAGCCUGAAAGGGGAGAUGGCCUGUCAUUAAGACCCAGGAGAAUCUUACAGAUGAACAACGGGGAAGGCCCUGGAUAAUGAUGUUAACAGGGAAAUAAAAAUGUAUAAAAAAAUGGAGAUUUUAGAACAAGUUUCUGGAGAAGAUCCAGGUAGGUUUAUCUAAAUGAUUAAAACUAGGAUAAUGAAUAUAUUAGAAUAACAGGAAGAGAAAAAAGAUCAUUAAAUAUGGUUGGGUAAACAUCUUAAAAGGGUGUAUGUGCAAGGGAAAUGUGUGUGUAAUUACAGGAAAAUCUAAGGGAAGAAUCUGGUGAACAUACUGAUUUAGAAUUAUGUGAACAAAAGCACAUAAAUUUAUGUACAAGAACUAUUUUAGGUGAAGGGAAAGACAACACAAAAUACAGGAGAGGUCAGCAUGACUGGACUAAACCAAAAGCUAAGAAGUUUCCUGAAGAAGCUGAACAGUUCGAAGGUCAGUGUAGCAGGGGUAGAUGUUUGGGGACCAUGGUUUCAGGAGACAUCUAGGUCAACUGGCAUAAUAAAAUCUAUUAAGAAAACAUUCUGCAUCCCACUUUGGAGAGUGGCGUCUGGGAUCUUAGACACUAGCAAGUGGCCAUCUAAGAUGCAUCAAUUGGUCUCAGCCCACCUGGAGCAAAGGAGAAUGAAGAACACCAAAGACACAAGGUAAUUAUGAGCCCAAGAGACAAUAAGGGCCACAUAAAUCAGAAACAACAUCAUCCUGAGACCAGAAGAACUAGAUGGUGCCCGGGUAUAAAUGAUGACUGCCCUGAAAGUGAGUACAACAGAGAACCCCUGAGGGAGCAGGAGAACAGUGGGAUGCAGACCUCAAAUUCCCGUAAAAAGACCAGACUUAAUGGUCUGACUGAGAUUAGAAGGACCCUGGGGGUCAUGGCCCCCAGACCUUCCGUUAGCCCAAGACAAGAACCAUUCCUGAAGCCAACUCUUCAGACAGGACUGGACUGGAUUAUGGGAUAGAAAAUGACACUGGUGAGAAAUGAGCUUCUCGGAUCAAGUAGACACAUGAGACUAUGUGCGCAGCUCCUGUCCGGAGAGGAGAUGAGAACACAGAGGGGGACAGAAACUAGCUGAAUAGACACGGAAAUAGAGGGUGGAGAGAAGGAGUGUGCUGUCUCAUUAGGGGGAGAGCAAUUAGGCAUAUAUAGCAAGGCAUAUAUAAAUUUUUGCAUGAGAGACUGACUUGAUUUGUAAACUUUCACUUAAGGCGCAAUAAAAAUUAAAAGAAAAAAAUUUACAUACACAGUAACCACACUGUAAUUUUUUUUUGCAACAGGAGGUGGCAAGAGCCAUAAUCUUACCAACCUAAUUACUUUCAUUUUUGUAGAACCCAUUCCAAUUCUUGCUCUUGGUGAUGGAUACAUACUGGGAUGUAUAAUCGUUUUACACAUUGAGGAUCAGUUUUAAUUGGAAGCUGGGAAGAUGCUUAGGGCCAAGAAAGAAAUGGACUUUGCUUUUCUGGUAGUCAAAGAGUCUAGAACAAAUAGCUCAGCUUUGGAAUGGGGAGGGGUAUGUGUGAAGAAUGAUUACUUAAAAUUUUAAUGACAGGACAAGACCACCCAGAAUGAUAUAACAAAGGCUUGAAUCCAAUGGCAUAAGGCUCUAAACUAAAUCCAUUUAGUUGAACGGUGCAUACCUGUGUACCUGGGCUUAUCUUGGUAUGUGUAGUUUGUACACUGGGAUUCUCUAGUAUUGUAGGAAAAUGAUUACUUUCAAGAGGCCUACAAAUGUGCCAGACCUUGGAAUACACUGUGAUGGAAGAGGAAACAAGAGAAGUAAAAGAGGAAAGGUGUGUGUUAAUCUCAGGGGACACAAAGCAGGCCAAGGUAAUUAUGAAAAUUUUGAAUUUUAAUUUUGUGCUUAAAAGUUCAUCACAAAGGCUCUAAGGAUCUCACUCAAUACAUUAAAAAAAAAAAUUUUUUUUUACCUCCUAAUAAUUAAUAAUUCAACCAAUCAAGUCAACAAAUAUUUAUGAGUGCUAACUAUGUGCCAGCACUUUGCUAGGCACUAGGGAAACAGGAUGGUAUAAAACCGGUUCCCUUUCUCCCAGAGCUGGCAGUGGAGUAGAAACACAAUUACAUUCCAAAGUAGACAGGUCUGUAAACACACAAUUACAAUGUAGUGUGGCCAGAUUUGCAGACAGUGUUCAAGUCACAGAGCUAGCCAGUGGCACACUAUUGCUGUUGUUAGCUGCUGUCAAGUCUAGGCUGACUCAUGGCAACCCCACGUGUGCAAAGUAGAACUGCUCUAUAGGGGUUUCAAGGCUGUGAUCUUUCAGAAGCAGAUAGCCAGGCCUGUUUCCUGAAAAGCCUCUGGGUGGGUUUGAACUGCCAACCUUUCGGCUAGUAGUUCAGCCCAUUACCAUUUGUGCCACCCAGGGACCUGGUGGUACCAUAAAGACUAGAAUUCUGACUGAUUGAUUCUGAGCCCACUGUUAUUUCUGCUCCAACAAUCCUGCCUGCUGCAUAAAAUUAAAUGUGAACAAAUAGAAUGAAGUAAAAUUUUGAAAGAAGAUUAUUUGAAAAUCGCCAAACCUGGAUGCAGCUGGAUUGACACUUCUCCUGGUGUCACCUGGGUAUUAAUUUCAUUUCCACUUGGUAUUACACGCACAGACGGGUAUUCUAUUGAAUCAACUGAGCAGCCUUUGCUGAUUAAAUUGGAAACAAUAUCACAACGUUCACUCCUUGAUCCACCUGUAACGAAAACCUGUUUAAAAGAAGCAAAGUCACUGACUUUCUUAGUGCAUAUUGUCUCAACUGUAGCCAAAGAAAACCAGGUUAACAAAUGUAGCAAAGAAGCCAUCUUCCAGUAUUGCACAUAUUAUGGAACUGUCCAAAAUAGCUGCAUGUGGAUUCCACUGAGAGUCCUGGAAAACCUGCCUUAAAUAUAACUUUAAAAUUUCUAAAUCUUAUUUAAAAAAGGGGGAAAUAAUUAUUAAAGAGUACAUUUAAAUCAAGCAUUUUAAAUGCUGUUAACUGAUCACUGUAAAAUUAUACCGACUUAAUUCUUUCUAAAUAUUUCACUUUGGAAAGACUGCUCCAAAAGGAAAUUUAGUCAAAAUAGACCUUUCAGUGGUCCAAAUGUGAGCCUCAGUUCUCAAAGAACCCAACUGGUAUAUUUAUUAUGGACUGUUAUGUUUGGAGCAUGAGUGUGAGUCUUUGGAAGUCACAUGCCUAAUUAAGUGCUGAAAACUCAUAAGAGUUUUCUCAGACCGAAAAAAUCCCCCGACUUCUUACAUACAGAACAGCCUGUAAAUAAUUAAAUAAUCCAAAUUAGAUACUGGUAAUAAGCAAUGGGGAGACUGCAGCUCCAAUUCUCCUCAACUUGCAAUUGAAUCUAAAAAUUUCACUAAAUUCCACAUUGGUUAGUUGAUAGUUAUCCAAUAUCUACCCGAUAAAUUUGGACCAAUGAAGCAAGCUUGAAAUUUAAUUUAUUCUGGCUGGGAAAAAAUUGGUAUUUUUAUUUGCCAUGUUAGCCUUCAGUUCUGCUCCCAAGAAAGGGAAAUUUAUUAAAAGUAUAGGCAUAUGUUUUAUUAUAUAUAAUGUUGGCCUGACUGAUUUGGGAUAUUUGUUUUCCACGUUAACUGGAGAUUUGCUUAUGAAUCUUCCUGGCAGUGGCUAUUUUGAUCUGGCAUCCAUUUAUUCCUCCUUUAGUUCAGCUGAUUCAGAGAGUUGAUUUCCAAUCAAUUAAUCAUUCCGUCAAAAUAAUGUUGAGUAAAUACUUACUCAGGGCCUAUCAUCUGUUAGGUGCUGAGGAUACAGAAUAUGGCAAGACAGGUAGAGCCUCCGUCACCAACAAGCCAAUAGAUCAUUGUGAAUUCAGACACUGAGCAAAUGAAUGUAAUUGUGAUGGGCAUUAAACUUAGGGGAAGCACAGAGAAUCAAAAGGCUAUGGAGCAAAGGGACUAUCACCUUAAGGGGACAUGAGAGCUGAAUAUGAGAUCACUGAUUAGGAACAGGGACAUCGCUGGCACCAAUAAGCAGUUAGAUAGAACGGUAGUAAGCAAUAUAAAAGCAUUCAUACAGUUUUCUCCUGUUCAGUCUGGGACAAAAAUGUAGACUGGAAUUCAAAUUCAUGGAAAAAGACCAGACUUACUGGUCUGACAAAGGCUGGAGGAAUCCCCAAGACUAUGGCCCUAAGACACUCUGCUAACUUAUAACUAAAACCACUCCCGAAGUCUACUUUUCAGACAAAGAUUAGAUAGACCUAUAAAACAAAAAAUAACAUGGGUGAGGAAUGUGCUUCUUAGUUCAAUGAAAUAUUAGAGACUAAACGGGCAAUUUGUGUCCAAAAGUAAGACAAGAAGGCAGGAGGGGGCAGGAACUGGAUGAAUGGACACAGGGAACCCAGUUGGAAAGCAGGAGCGUGCUGUCACAUUGUAGGGAUUGCAACCAAUGUCUCAUAAAAAUACAUGUGUAAAUUUUUGAAUGAGAAAUUAACUUGAGCUGUGAACUUUCACCUAAAGCACAAUAAAAAGAAAGAAAAACCCCAAAACAUUCAUACGACGAUUUUAAUUCCUCUCUCAGUUUAGAGCCAGAGUUGGCAAGCUAGGAUCAAUGAGACAAGUUCAGGCCAUGGCCUGUUUUUGUAUGGCCUGUGAGCCAAGAAUGGUUUGUACAU